UUGAGUAUUCCAACAGGAGAUAGAUAAUAGGGGUUAUGCCAGCUGAUAUCCCUUUGUGCCGCAAAAAUCUCGUUCAUUAGAUGGUUCUCAUGAUCAGCGAGACGGUCCACAAACUUCCUUUGUAGAGCUAGAGCAUACUUGCAAAAUGGAGUCACAGAAGCAGUCUCAUAGAUGAAUGAGUUGGAAAAUCUUUCCAAGUUCUAUCUCUUUCGCAACCGUUGGAGAUAUG